rnacentral:hammerhead_ribozyme from 1 species
UAAACCAGUUACCUACAGCUGAUGAGCUCCAGGAAGAGCGAAACCAGUUCUGUUUCAGCAGUUAUGAAAAGUAAGAACUGGUCCUGUAGUACUGUCGAGCAUCA